UAAAGCUCAGGAUUCUCUUGAUACAUAACAUUCCCUUCUUUGGGCUCAGAAGUCUCUUGUUCAUUUAGAGUGUCUACUUUAUCGAACGUUGGAGCUUUAGUGUAGGGAAACCUCUCCCUCUUAGCAAGAGUCGUACCUGUUUAGUACUCUUUUAACCUUGGUUUGGAAAAUAUCUAUCAAGAGUAACCUGUUUCUGUCGAAAGUUUUCUAGGGUUCUUUAUCGAUCUGUUCUUCUGUAAAGGGUUUGGGUAAAAUCCUUCUGUUCUUGAGCUCAGUUCGGUUUACCUUGUUGUUUCCCUUCUGGUUGAUGUCUUCGAGAUUAGAUAAAGCUAUGAAAGGGAUGUCUUUGGAGGAAGAAGAGGAUGUCCCAUUUAACAUGCCAGAUCUACCAGAGUUCUGUUCAAGCGAGAAAAAUGUUCUUAGUCUGAUGGGUAGGGUCCUGAACCCAGCUUGUCAAUCGGUCUCCAACUUGGUCAGAGAUCUCCCAAGAAAAUGGCAGCUUUACCACAGAGUAAGAGGAGUGGCCUUAUCGAAAGAGAGUUUUCAGUUCGUUUUCCAGUAUGAGCAUGAUUUGGAAAGGGUUUUGGAGAAGAGGGUCCAUUCAUUCAACGAAUGGUCGAUUGUGAUUGAUAGAUGGGUGGACACUACAAGAAAUUAGGACAUUGGUAGCAGAUCACAGUAGCACUAAUUCAACAACUGCUACUAAAAGUGUCAAAAUUGAAUGUCCAAUUAUACGAUAGCAUUAAAUUCGUGCUAGGAAAAAAUUUCAUUAUCCCGGGAAAAAAAAUCGCUACUAUAGUUGAAAAUUUGUUUUGGAGGCAAUACACUAACCCAAAUUUUUUGUUUUUCAUGACGAGAGAAAAAAACAAUCCUUUUUCGUCUUAAGUCUUAAAAAGAAAAAAGUUCUUCCUCUCAUCCAUUGUCCCUCUUUCCAUUAACCCUAAAUCUUAAAAUUCCCAAAAAUAAAUGUUCAAGCCGACAAAUUCUUCUCACACAAAUCCUAAGGCUUCUCCUUCUUCCCAAAUUCCUCUAUCUCUCUCUGUUUUUCUCUCUCUAUCUCUUUUGAAGAAUAUGAAUUCGGCAUCUUUAGAUGAAGUUGAGAUCUGCUGGAGCAAGAGAACCCAAACUUCCCGUCGAAGCUCCUUCCUCUUCGGGUAUCACAAUCGACCUUCCAGACAAAACCACCAACGACGCUUCCGCUUCCCUCCGAUUCAAAUUCUGGAUCUGAGAUUGAUUAUGACUCUAAGCGAGCUUGGUGGUGGUGGGUUUGAGACCAAAGAUUUCUCUAAUUAAUGAUAUCUAAAAUCUUCUUUCUCUUUUAGUUUACUUUGGAUUUUUAUCCUGCGAACGCUUAGUAUCAGCGGCUAGAGACGGCGAUUUAUAGGAAGCCAAGUAGUCACCCUCGGUGUAUCAAGAUCUUGGUUUCGGACUAGAUACCAAGUGUUCCCAUCUGUUGGAGCUUGUUGAAGAAUAAUAAAUCCUCAAUUGCUGAUUUUGAUCCAAGUGACUCUUGGUUCCAAAUUCGUUUUGGUGGUCAUAGUCUUCUUUAGUCAUGGUUUGGUUCUUAGCGAGUAAGAAUCUCUUUCCAAUCUUCUCUGUUUUCUCUCUUGUGGUUAUGUGGUUUCUGUUUUUCUCUCUUGAGUUCUUCGCAGAUAAGUGAUAUCUUUUGGUGUGAAGAAACGUUGCAGAUCUUAAGAAAACAAAUACUUUUGGCAGAUACAGAUUUAGCUUACCAAUGUUUGAUACAGAUUUGUGUUCUUUGGAUGUGUUUUGUAGUGUUCUUCACAAAGUGGUCAACAGAGCAGACGAUGGUGGAAUCACACCUCUUCAUAAUGAAUGUAGAGAUUCUCUAAUUGAAAAAAUUAAUUCUGUAGUUUUGUUUUCGCUUUGGCGCUUUGGUUAUACAUUGUAGGUGUUGGGGGUACGCAACUCUCCAUUAUGCUUCAUGUGGUGGAAACACGCAGUGUUUUGUUUCAUUUGGAUCAUAUAUGAAUUCAUUUGGCAUUUGUUUUCACAGCUAUUGAUCGAUAAGGGGGCCUGUUUUAGCUGCCAUGAACUCCAACGAGUUUGUUCUUCUCUCUAUUUCUCCGCCUGUAAGAUGGCUGCAAGAUUGGAAGCCAAAAACACAUUUGCUUUGAAGUCCGAGAUUGAAUAGCUACAACAAGAGAGGGAUCGAUUUCAAAGGAUGGUGAUUGGAAACCAGUUACUAUAAGGUGAUAUGCUGAUGGUAUGAGUGGAGAUCUACUAGGGCUGCUUUGGUCUCUUUAUUACUUGGUUUGGUGAAGAAAUGUACUUGCCUUCUUUUUCUUUAUGACUUUGUUGGUGAUUCAAUCAUUUGUAUCUUUUGGGUAUUUGAUAGAAUGAUUCUAUGUAAAAUGUAUGUUUUAUAAAUUU